rnacentral:rRNA from 1 species
CAGUCGAGCGGUAGAGAGAAGCUUGCUUCUCUUGAGAGCGGCGGACGGGUGAGUAAUGCCUAGGAAUCUGCCUGGUAGUGGGGGAUAACGUUCGGAAACGGACGCUAAUACCGCAUACGUCCUACGGGAGAAAGCAGGGGACCUUCGGGCCUUGCGCUAUCAGAUGAGCCUAGGUCGGAUUAGCUAGUUGGUGAGGUAAUGGCUCACCAAGGCGACGAUCCGUAACUGGUCUGAGAGGAUGAUCAGUCACACUGGAACUGAGACACGGUCCAGACUCCUACGGGAGGCAGCAGUGGGGAAUAUUGGACAAUGGGCGAAAGCCUGAUCCAGCCAUGCCGCGUGUGUGAAGAAGGUCUUCGGAUUGUAAAGCACUUUAAGUUGGGAGGAAGGGCAGUUACCUAAUACGUGAUUGUUUUGACGUUACCGACAGAAUAAGCACCGGCUAACUCUGUGCCAGCAGCCGCGGUAAUACA